UCCGGUUUGUCACCGGCAGUCUCCUUAGAGUGCCCAACUAAAUGCUGGCAACUAAGGACAAGGGUUGCGCUCGUUGCGGGACUUAACCCAACAUCUCACGACACGAGCUGACGACAGCCAUGCAGCACCUGUGUUCAGGCUCCUUUCGGCACUCCCGCAUCUCUGCAGGAUUCCUGACAUGUCAAGACCAGGUAAGGUUCUUCGCGUUGCAUCGAAUUAAACCACAUACUCCACCGCUUGUGCGGGCCCCCGUCAAUUUCUUUGAGUUUCAACCUUGCGGCCGUACUCCCCAGGCGGAGAACUUAGCGCGUUAGCUACGACACCGAUCAGCCAAGCUGACCAACGUCUAGUUCUCAUCGUUUAAGGCGUGGACUAC
rnacentral:misc_RNA from 1 species